GUGAAGAACAAGAUCAUCUUCUGUGCUGUAGAGUUGCACAAGAUUUGCAAUGCUUCAGUCUCAUGUAUAUAAGGAUUGGCAAUCAACCCUGAGAUUUCCUGCAGGUUUGGAACAUAUCUCAUAGAGUGGAGAUUUGAUCACAUCCACCUGGUGUUUGCCACUUCUCCAGUUUUCUGAGCUGUUUGAGAAACCUCAAGUUAUUGUUCAGAAAACUAGGACUCAGCAGACAAGGAGUGACUACAACAGAGGAACAUGCCAAGAGGUUAUUCAAAAAGAAGGUUCUGAUGGAGGAUUUUAUUAUUAUAAAGUACUUGCCUCAGACAUUUUUCGCAGCUCUCAAAGUUGCAGAAAAAGGGACUUAUGCUUGAGUUCAUCCAAGAACCAAGACAAAAUGUGUCAUUUUCCCAAAUAACUUGAAGGAUCAACAAUUAAAACAGUCAAAUGGCUUAUGGAGGAAAAAAGGUCUGUCUCACAGGGCAUUUUGGGACUGGGAGGGUCAUACCAGCAGGGAUUCUGGCAUUUCCUUUGGAAUGUA